rnacentral:rRNA from 1 species
UACGGAGGGAGCUAGCGUUGUUCGGAAUUACUGGGCGUAAAGCGCACGUAGGCGGCUUGUAAGUUAGAGGUGAAAGCCCGGGGCUCAACUCCGGAACUGCCCGACUAGAGGUAGGUAGGGGAGAUCGGAAUUCCUGGUGUAGCGGUGAAAUGCGCAGAUAGUCAGGAGGAACACCGGUGGCGAAGGCGGAUCUCUGGGCCUUACCUGACGCUCAGGUGCGAAAGCUAGGGGAGCGAACAGG